AAUUAUUUAUGGUAUAACCUAUUAAGAUUUUGUCCAUAAACAUAAAUAGAACCUCAUUUGUCAUUCCAUCAUCUUUGUAGCCGAUAUUCUCUAGGAUCUCAUGGACUGCAGUCAAAUCCCUUCUGGAGCAGGCUUCACCAAGUGGUGAAAGAGGAGAGCAGGAGUUAGUGUGCGGGAUACCCAUCAAAACAUGAGAAGGAAUCUGCAGUGUAUGCAAAGCAAAAUAAUAAGAAUUACAGCUACUAGCAUCUUGUUAAGCGUCUAUAAUUGAUCGAACUAUUUAGUAGUAGGGUGGGUGUACAUAUUAGGAGCAAUUUGAAUUUGUACCUUACUAAUUUGCACACACUUUCAAAGAGAUAAAAAUCUUGGAGAAAAUUCUGUAACUACCGACAUCCAGACUUUUAGUUAUGGGUUUUAAGGAAUUCAAAAUCCGUUGCAAUCCCUGUAAUUAACAACCUGAUUUUUGGUUUGUUACAGAUUCUUAAAUAUAGUGUCAAGAACAUCACUGGCCAUGGAAGGCACUGAAAAAAAUUAUUAUCCUGUGCCUUCUAAUUUCACUUCCAAUUAUUGAAAGGUUCUCCUUAUAAAUAUACUGGUUAAAGACUGCCAAAAAUCUUGACCAAAACAAAAAAGGCUGCCAAAAAGAAGUGAUCUAAAUUCUAAUGAAGGAAGUCAAAUGAUCGGGAAUGGAAUUUAUAAAUUAUACCUCAGUUUCUUUCUGAAGAGUAGUCAAUGCAGCUACUAAUGACUUUGGAUUUGGUCGCUCUCGAGGUUCAGAUUGUAAACAUCGCGAAGCCAAGCGUACCAAUUCAGUACCAUCAUCUUGAGACAGCUGUCCUUCCAAGCACGAAUCUGUCAGCAUCUGAAGAUUUCUGUCCCUAAUUAGGUCUAGG
rnacentral:lncRNA from 1 species